AUCCGGAUGAUAAGUCCAAAAUAGGACGAAAUGCACAUCCUGAAU
rnacentral:hammerhead_ribozyme from 1 species